rnacentral:tRNA from 1 species
GGGUCUGUCGUUCAAUGGUAGGACCGCGGUCUCCAAAACCGCAGACGUGGGUUCGAUUCCUGCCAGACCCGCCA